UGGGGAAUUUUGGACAAUGGGGGAAACCCUGAUCCAGCCAUCCCGCGUGUGCGAUGAAGGCCUUCGGGUUGUAAAGCACUUUUGGCAGGAAAGAAACGUCGCGGGUUAAUACCCCGCGAAACUGACGGUACCUGCAGAAUAAGCACCGGCUAACUACGUGCCAGCAGCCGCGGUAAUACGUAGGGUGCAAGCGUUAAUCGGAAUUACUGGGCGUAAAGCGUGCGCAGGCGGUUCGGAAAGAAAGAUGUGAAAUCCCAGAGCUUAACUUUGGAACUGCGUUUUUAACUACCGGGCUAGAGUGUGUCAGAGGGAGGUGGAAUUCCGCGUGUAGCAGUGAAAUGCGUAGAUAUGCGGAGGAACACCGAUGGCGAAGGCAGCCUCCUGGGAUAACACUGACGCUCAUGCACGAAAGCGUGGGGAGCAAACAGGAUUAGAUACCCUGGUAGUCCACGCCCUAAACGAUGUCAACUAGCUGUUGGGGCCUUCGGGCCUUGGUAGCGCAGCUAACGCGUGAAGUUGACCGCCUGGGGAGUACGGUCGCAAGAUUAAAACUCAAAUGAAUUGAC
rnacentral:rRNA from 1 species